rnacentral:tRNA from 1 species
GAAUCAGGUAACUUACUCGUACGUUAUAGUAACCGGAUUUUAACGCUGUGUGAAGAAAGUUCAAGAGCAUUAGAUGAUUU